rnacentral:rRNA from 1 species
AAGGGCAGCCACAGCCCCGGGGUUCCGCCUCUUCCCAUCCCGAACAGAGAAGCUAAGCCCGGGCACGCCGAUGGUACUGCGCAAGCGGGAGAGCAGGGAGCUGCCCAUU